rnacentral:rRNA from 1 species
AUGGACUUAGAAGAUUUCACUACUGCUUGCAAACUCCCGCAGUGGGGCAAUGUUAAUGAACCCCAUAAAUCUGAAUAUAAAGACUUCCUUUCUAGUAUCACUGUGGGAGAAUCUAGAGAAAUAGCACAAGCUACCAUAGGGAGUAUUCAUUUUCCUGCUAUACAUUAUUUUGCUCUCUUCAUUGGUAGAUGCAUUAACGGUAAAGAUGAAGCAUUUCACAUGUGUGUUCCUGAUCUUUGUGUUCUCAAGAGUGAUGUAUUAGGUGACAAACAAUACAACUUGGGGGCAAUUGUUGCACAUAGGUUGCAUAAUAAUGGUUCAGUUGGAGAUUUGUUUGGAGGAAUUUAUGCGACCCGUGUGGCUAAUUAUCUUGGUAUACCUCCACAUGAAGAUGAUAGGGAGUUGCCUCCCGCUUAUUUAGAUUAUAAUGCCAUGCUUAGUCAUCAUUUUCUCGAAAGGAAUGAACAAUUCCUCCAGUAUCGACUAAUCUUUAACAGACAUCGUGCUGUCCAUAUUACUCUCCCUGCUCCUGCCCUUUUUGAUUAUUAG